UGACUUCACACGUGAGCCACACCCUGACCUUGCAAGACGUUACACUCGGCAAGAUAAAGAGAGCACAGCACAUGUGUCAGUACAACAUGCUUGGCUUUUGUUUUCCUCUCCAUUUUGCCAAUGGGCAUAGCUGAAUAAUUUAUGCCGGAGGAACGUGCUGGAUGUUCCAGCCUGGAACACAGAACUACAUUGUUCAUAUCCUGGAUGGCUAGUGGUGAUGGGUGGGACGAGUGUUCAUCUUCAUCAUCUGUUCGUCUUCGCAGAGCAUUAUACCAUCAGAAGAAAUAUCGGUCUUCGCAGGGCAUUAUACCAUCAGAAGAAAUGUGAAGAUGACACCAAAGCAUCAUCAAGUGCUAUCUAGUUACUAGUUAGAUACUAGUUGCCCUAUAAAAAACAUAUUUCAUAAAGUGGCAAAUUGUUG
ensembl:lncRNA